rnacentral:rRNA from 1 species
AGAGUUUGAUCAUGGCUCAGAAUCAACGCUGGCGGCGCGCCUAACACAUGCAAGUCGAACGAGAAAGCAGGAGCAAUCUUGUGAGUAAAGUGGCGUACGGGUGAGUAACACGUGGAUCAUCUACCCUCUUGUGGGGGAUAACUCUGGGAAACCGGAGCUAAUACCGCAUAAGUCCGAGAGGAGAAAGCAGCAAUGCGCAGGAGGAGGAGUCCGCGGCCGAUUAGCUAGUUGGUAGGGUAAAAGCCUACCAAGGCUACGAUCGGUAGCCGGCCUGAGAGGGCACACGGCCACACUGGCACUGAAACACGGGCCAGACUCCUACGGGAGGCAGCAGUGGGGAAUCUUGCACAAUGGGGGCAACCCUGAUGCAGCGACGCCGCGUGAGCGAUGAAGCCCUUCGGGGUGUAAAGCUCUUUCGGCAGGGAAGAUUAUGACGGUACCUGCAGAAGCAGCUGCGGCUAACUACGUGCCAGCAGCCGCGGUAAUACGUAGGCAGCGAGCGUUGUUCGGAGUUACUGGGCGUAAAGGGUGUGUAGGCGGUCUUCUAAGUCUGGUGUGAAAUCUCCCGGCUCAACUGGGAGGGUGCGCCGGAAACUGGAAGGCUAGAGUGCGGGAUGGGAGAGUGGAAUUCCUGGUGUAGCGGUGAAAUGCGUAGAUAUCAGGAGGAACACCUGUGGUGUAGACGGCUCUCUGGACCGCAACUGACGCUGAGACACGAAAGCGUGGGUAGCAAACAGGAUUAGAUACCCUAGUAGUCC